GUUUUACACCUCAUUUAAUCUGUUAAAACAACUAGACACGAGCUUUGUGACCAUCAACAAAAAGCAUGUCGUCUGAAGCAUAUCUAAAAGUCAUGUUAUCAUUUAGUUUAGCCCUCACCCUCUCUGACAAUCGCUAGACAAUCCUUUCAGCAAAUACACAGAUUCUAGAAAAUUGGCUCCGUCACAGAUUUGUUGCCUUGAGGUACCAAUUCACCUUCAUCGAUGGUCUAAUCGGCCCCUUGAGAAAUCUUUGCGUUCUUUGCAGGGAGAUCCGACGGGUCUAUAUUUUCGCUGCAGUAACCCCGU
rnacentral:lncRNA from 1 species